rnacentral:rRNA from 1 species
UACGUACUGUGCGAACGUUAUUCGGAAUCACUGGGCGUAAAGGGCUCGUAGGCGGCCAACUAAGUCAGACGUGAAAUCCCUCAGCUUAACUGGGGAACUGCGUCUGAUACUGGAUGGCUUGGAUUCGGGAGAGGAAUGCGGAAUUCCAGGUGUAGCGGUGAAAUGCGUAGAUAUCUGGAGGAACACCGGUGGCGAAGGCGGCAUUCUGGACCGAUAUUGACGCUGAGGAGCGAAAGCCAGGGGAGCAAACGGG